rnacentral:rRNA from 1 species
UGGGGAAUAUUGGACAAUGGGCGCAAGCCUGAUCCAGCAAUGCCGCGUGUGUGAAGAAGGCCUUCGGGUUGUAAAGCACUUUUAUCAGGAGCGAAACGCUGUCGGCUAAUACCCGGCGGAACUGACGGUACCUGAGGAAUAAGCACCGGCUAACUUCGUGCCAGCAGCCGCGGUAAUACGAAGGGUGCAAGCGUUAAUCGGAAUUACUGGGCGUAAAGCGUGCGUAGGCGGUGACUUAAGUCUGCUGUGAAAUCCCCGGGCUCAACCUGGGAAUGGCAGUGGAUACUGGGUCGCUAGAGUGUGAUAGAGGAUGGUGGAAUUCCCGGUGUAGCGGUGAAAUGCGUAGAGAUCGGGAGGAACAUCAGUGGCGAAGGCGGCCAUCUGGAUCAACACUGACGCUGAGGCACGAAAGCGUGGGGAGCAAACA